rnacentral:rRNA from 1 species
GACGAACGCUGGCGGCGUGCUUAACACAUGCAAGUCGAACGCUGAAGCUCAGCUUUUGUUGGGUGGAUGAGUGGCGAACGGGUGAGUAACACGUGAGUAACCUGCCUCCUUCUUUGGGAUAACGCCCGGAAACGGGUGCUAAAACUGGAUAUUCACUGGUCUUCGCAUGGGGGUUGGUGGAAAGGGUUUUUCUGGUGGGGGAUGGGCUCGCGGCCUAUCAGCUUGUUGGUGGGGUGAUGGCCUACCAAGGCUUUGACGGGUAGCCGGCCUGAGAGGGUGACCGGUCACAUUGGGACUGAGAUACGGCCCAGACUCCUACGGGAGGCAGCAGUGGGGAAUAUUGCACAAUGGGCGCAAGCCUGAUGCAGCGACGCCGCGUGAGGGAUGGAGGCCUUCGGGUUGUGAACCUCUUUCGCUCAUGGUCAAGCCGCAACAAUGGUUGUGGUGAGGGUAGUGGGUAAAGAAGCGCCGGCUAACUACGUG